GCGACCCCAGGUCAGGCGGGACUA
rnacentral:ncRNA from 152 species